rnacentral:rRNA from 1 species
UACGUAGGGCGCAAGCGUUAUCCGGAAUUAUUGGGCGUAAAGAGCUCGUAGGCGGUUUGUCGCGUCUGCCGUGAAAGUCCGGGGCUCAACUCCGGAUCGUCGCGGUGGUACGGGCAGACUAGAGUGAUGUAGGGGAGACUGGAAUUCCUGGUGUAGCGGUGAAAUGCGCAGAUAUCAGGAGGAACACCGAUGGCGAAGGCAGGUCUCUGGGCAUUAACUGACGCUGAGACGCGAAAGCGUGGGGAGCGAACAGG